CCCGAACGCUGGCGGCGUGGCUAAGACAUGCAAGUCGUACGGGUGCAGCAAUGCACCAGUGGCGGACGGGUGAGUAAUGAAUCGCUAAUGUACCCUCUUGUCUGGGAUAGCCGGUCGAAAGGCCGGGUAUACCAGAUGAUAUAACCGAAUCGCAUGGUUUGGUUCUCAAAGGGACAACCGCAUGAGGAGCAGGCGAUUUCGUAUCAGCUAGUUGGUGAGGUAACGGCUCACCAAGGCGACGACGCGUAGCUGGUCUGAGAGGACGGGCCAGCCACAUUGGGACU
rnacentral:rRNA from 1 species